GGAGGGAUGGCCGAGCGGUCAAAGGCAGCAGACUGUAAAUCUGCCGACGUAUGUCUA
rnacentral:tRNA from 1 species